GUUAUACUCCCUCCAUUCGGAAUUACUUGUCUCGGAAAUGAAUAUAUCUAGAACUAAAAUACAUCUAGAUACAUCCAUUUCUGCGACAAGUAAUUCCGAACGGAAGGAGUAGAUA
rnacentral:pre_miRNA from 1 species